UACGUAGGGGGCAAGCGUUGUCCGGAUUCAUUGGGCGUAAAGAGCGUGUAGGCGGCCAGGUAGGUCGGUUGUGAAAACUGGAGGCUCAACCUUCAGAGGUCGACCGAAACCAUCUGGCUAGAGUCCGGGAGAGGAGAGUGGAAUUCCUGGUGUAGCGGUGAAAUGCGCAGAUAUCAGGAAGAACACCCGUGGCGAAAGCGGCUCUCUGGAACGGUACUGACGCUGAGACGCGAAGGCUAGGGGAGCAAACGGG
rnacentral:rRNA from 1 species